CCUACGGGUGGCAGCAGUGAGGAAUAUUGGUCAAUGGACGCAAGUCUGAACCAGCCAAGUAGCGUGAAGGAUGACUGCCCUAUGGGUUGUAAACUUCUUUUAUAUGGGAAUAAAGUUCGGUACGUGUACUUUUUUGUAUGUACCUUAUGAAUAAGGAUCGGCUAACUCCGUGCCAGCAGCCGCGGUAAUACGGAGGAUCCGAGCGUUAUCCGGAUUUAUUGGGUUUAAAGGGAGCGUAGGCGGACGGUUAAGUCAGAUGUGAAAGUUUGCGGCUCAACCGUAAAAUUGCAGUUGAUACUGGGUGCCUUGAGAGCAGUUGAGGUAGGCGGAAUGCGUGGUGUAGCGGUGAAAUGCUUAGAGAUCACGAAGAACUCCGAUUGCGAAGGCAGCUUACUAAACUGCAACUGACGUUGAUGCUCGAAAGUGUGGGUAUCAAACAGGAUUAGAUACCCUUGUAGUC
rnacentral:rRNA from 1 species